UGGGGAAUAUUGGGCAAUGGGCGCAAGCCUGACCCAGCAACGCCGCGUGAAGGAAGAAGGCUUUCGGGUUGUAAACUUCUUUUCUGAGGGACGAUAGUGACGGUACCUCAGGAAUAAGCCACGGCUAACUACGUGCCAGCAGCCGCGGUAAUACGUAGGUGGCAAGCGUUAUCCGGAUUUACUGGGUGUAAAGGGCGUGUAGGCGGGACUGCAAGUCAGAUGUGAAAAUCCAGAGGCUCAACCUCUGGCCUGCAUUUGAAACUGUAGUUCUUGAGUGUCGGAGAGGCAGGCGGAAUUCCGUGUGUAGCGGUGAAAUGCGUAGAUAUACGGAGGAACACCAGUGGCGAAGGCGGCCUGCUGGACAAUAACUGACGCUGAGGCGCGAAAGCGUGGGGAGCAAACAGGAUUAGAUACCC
rnacentral:rRNA from 1 species